UAGCGGCCAUCAGGUUUGCUUCAAUUUAGAGAUGGGUAACAUUAAUCAUAAAGGACUGCGUGGUUAGGUCUUCUCGCGAUUUUGAAGACAAAUUUCGCGUGCUAGGUGUCUUCUGUAAACGGUCAAACAGCGAAUAGCGCUAAUAGCGAUGUCGUAAUGUUUUAUUUUUUUGAUCGAUUUACAUGUGUGAUGUGAAGAAACAACGUUGUUGUGUGUACGAGAUGGGCAAGAAAAAAAAGGAAUGAGGAAUCAAAAGAGCGCGAACUAUCGUUCACUCAAGUUGACAUCAGUCAUCUCAUAUGCCUAACAAUAAUUGAAAGCAAUGUUAUGUCGGUGGUGAAUAUCGAUAUUGCCAAUAAUGAGGUGGUGGCAACGGUGGCGGUGGCUGUUGUUGACUGGAAGGCGAUGGUUCCGAUUGUAAAGAGGAUGGUACGGAGUGCUGAGCAGGUCCAACUGGAUAUAAACGAUGAGCGCGAGGAGUCUGAUGAUGAGGAUGACAGCUCGCAUUUGUUACACGCGACGACGUUGAUGCUUCCAACAUAAUGCCAGCUUGCGACUGACAAGCCAUCCUCAAACCAUGAAAAUCGAACUUGUAAACAGCGUUCAAAUUUAUAAAUCUACAAGGAUCUUGAGAAUGAUCUAAUAAAAAUAAAAUUUAUCAUGUAUGCUGAAGAAGAAAUAGAAAGGUUUGCUCUUGCGCUCACCCCAACGGCGUGCGACUUCGUCCGGAUCGGUGAGCUUAAAUUCUCCGUUUGAACCCUCCCACGCGAUGCAGGACGAGUUGGACGAAUCCGAGAGCAGCUCCAGCAGGAAUUGCCAGAGCUGAACCUGUCCGCCUCCGACCGCCCCCGAGCCACCGGCUCCAGCCGUUGAUCCAAUCAGCGAGCAAGUGCGUUGUAGGAGGCUGAACCUUUCUGCGAGCAGAAAACGAAUCGCAGCGGCCGAGGGAUGCAAUCUGGUAUCCUGCUGAAGAUGUAGAGGAUGCGUCUGAAUUCUCCACAUUACGCGCCGAAUUUAAUAUUUUGGCCUAAUCUUGUGCCAUAUAAACGGCGCUUUCGGAAACUGAUAAACGACAGGCCCAUCGUCUUUGGAGUUACGCGCAUUGAGAAUUCGUAAUCUUGUCUUUCAAAUCGACGCGACGAUUAUUUUGCAAUCUUAAGAGGUCUUGUGCAGAAUAAUCACAGUGAGCGUAGCACGAACAGCUUCAUCGAGACACCAACUGUUUUGCCAAAUAAUGGAUACAUAUCGGGAAAUAUUAAUUAAAAGUCAUUUCACUGAUCUCGAUGACAUUCUUACACACCUCGACUACUAGAGUUUUCACACGUACGCGAACAUCAAUGAAAGAUAGACGCAUUCGGAAUAAAACUCCGCUAGUCAGUGGACAGAGAGCGACUGAGCGACCUUUGCCCCUGGUUAUUUCAGCCCUUCGCACCCCCACUCUUGGUGACACAAAGUGCUCGAAGAGUAUAGGCUGGAAUGGAGGAUAUCAUGGAUGCAUGUAUUAUACACCUGCGCAUAUACGUAUAAAUACAAAGUGCAUGCCGUAAAUGCGAAACGAGCGUAUGCGGCGAGAAGUUUAAGCGACGUGUGACGGAGGUGCGACGCGUAAAAUUAUCCCGUAUACAUUCAAGAUCCAGAGAACGCUUGCCGCUCAUCACGAAAACAAUAUAGUCGCGCCCCGCGGCGAGCUUACCACCCCCGAGCCCGUUAGAGCCUGCCCCUGGAGGAGAGCAGAAAGAGGGGUAAAAGCGGUCGCGCGCGGCAAGCUCGUAACCCCUCGUGGCACCACCUUUCCGCUGCCCUAAACACUCGAUGGUUUAUUCAUGAGGACUCUCUCACCGCGAUAACACUGAUUCGUUUAAUAAACGGCUGCUGCCGGGGCGAGAUGGGCUGACACACACAUAGAGAAUGAGAAGGAAGGAAAGAGAGAGAUGGAGAGGGGGGAGGGAGAGAAGGGCUGCAACGUUAUUCAAACGGACGAUAUAUCUCGGAGGCUUACGCUGCCACAGUUCGGUACCUCUCACUUUUCGCUUUUCUUCCUCUACGUCCAAAGAGACGGUGCUCGAAAGUCUGUAUUCCGUAUACGAAAGAGAGGGGCGAAUAGAGCGUAGACAAAGGAAAAUUACAUUUUUUUUAUCUCGUUUUCUCAUGCUUCUUCAUUGUGACUCUACGCAGUCGAGACCAAUUCUAAUAAAAUAAUAUCGUAUUAUA